rnacentral:rRNA from 1 species
ACGCAGUAAACGAUGAAUGUUAGUCGUCGGGUAGCUAGUCUAUUCGGUGAUGCAGCUAACGCAUUAAACAUUCCGCCUGGGGAGUACGGUCGCAAGAUUAAAACUCAAAGGAAUAGACGGGGACCCGCACAAGUGGUGGAGCAUGUGGUUUAAUUCGAAGAUACGCGAAGAACCUUACCUAGCCUUGACAUAUAUUAGAACUCAGUAGAGAUACAGAGGUGCCUUCGGGAGCUUUUAUACAGGUGCUGCACGGCUGUCGUCAGCUCGUGUCGUGAGAUGUUGGGUUAAGUCCCGCAACGAGCGCAACCCUCGUCACUAGUUACUAACGGUUCGGCCGAGGACUCUAGCGAGACUGCCUUCGUAAGGAGGAGGAAGGUGAGGACGACGUCAAGUCAUCAUGGCCCUUACGGCUAGGGCAACACACGUGCUACAAUGGUUGGGACAAUGAGACGCGAUACCGCGAGGUGGAGCAAAUCUAUAAACCCAAUCUCAGUUCGGAUUGUAGUCUGCAACUCGACUACAUGAAGCUGGAAUCACUAGUAAUCGUAGAUCAGCUAUGCUACGGUGAAUACGUUCCCGGGUCUUGUACUCACCGCCCGU